UGUGUUUUCUAUAUUUAUAUAGAAUUACGAGUGCAAUGAAAGUGAGUAGAGGUUGAGAGGGCGAGAAACGAAGAGUAUGGGUAGUUAAUCGUUAAAACGAGACGAAACGAGAUAUUUAACGACUAACGGGUUAAUAUCCUAAAUAUCUAACCUACCCUACCCCUAACCACCCCCCAACUGCCCACUAUCCCUCUAUCUCACCUAACUCACGCUGCACACACAACACACACACUAAUUUGCACACACAACACACACACUAAAACACAUUAGAAACACACACACACUUCACGUUAACACCAUUUCUUUGGUGUUCAAGCUUUUGACUUCCGAUCUGAGCACCGAGACGAACGCCGAUCAUCUUUUCGAUCACGUAUCUAAGUAGGUCCUUUUGGGAAGUAACGACUUGAGGGAGAGAGUGACGUUACUCAUUGAUACAGAGACACAACGAGGUUGAGCUGAUGUGAUGAUGGUGCUGCAAUGAGCGGAGUCUCCAGGGUUGUUAAUAAAUAGUUAACCUGUCUAGAAUAUGUCUUCAUACAUAUGUCUAGCUACUUUCCGCUGCAAGAUGUUGUUGAUGUUAUAGUAUGUUAUGUCAUACUUUGAGUCUUAAGAGAAUGGUUUCAUAUGAUGUAUAACUUGAUUAAUGAUAUUAAUUAAGUUUUAUGCUGUCUUUCAUAGACUAUUUUCAAUUGAGUAUUAAUGAAUAAAAAUGACGAG